CACACACGCCCCUCAAGAUUACUCAAGAUUUAUUCAUUUGUUCAUGUCCGAUGAAUAUACAUUGAUUCACAUUUAAAUUUACAAUAUCAAAUCCAGACUAAUCAAAAAAGAAAAGUAGACUAAGUGAGGACGAGUUAGAAAAACGGGUUCAUUUCUCCUAUGUUUAUGUUUACACGUUUUGUUCAGACUGCUUUACACCCCAAUCCAGUGGGUGGCGGUAAUGCCCCAUUAGACCCCUUUCACUGACGUCACCCGAAACCGGAAGUAAACAAACCCUGCGCCACAUUGGAAGACCAACAAACUCGUGAUUAGGGGGAAAUAACGGCAGCGCGCGGUAUGUGAACCCAUGAGGCACUUGGUUCAUCAAAAACCUACAAUGGUAAACUUUUGUGCUGUAUUAGGGUUCUAACAAAGCUGAUGGGAAAGGUGAAAAGAAGUCUUUCUACAGAAUACCAGUUGUGAUUGAGACAACAAGCAAACCAAGGAGCUUUCUGCCGGGAGACAGAGAGAGGAUUUAGCUGCUUUAUGCAGAGUGGAUCUGAAUACUUCAAGUCUAUUUUGUUACUGGUGUCUGCGCCGCAGGAGGGAUAGGCCACAAUUAUAAAUUAUAAAUAAAUCAUAAAAUGUUUCUAAGAA